CACAAGGUGUAAACAGUCACUUAAAUUCAGGUUCCUCCUCACCCUGAAAAUAUUUUCAGGGAGUCGUGAAUCUCAUCUGCAAGAACAUGAGUCACCUGUGGUUCUUCCUCUUUCUGGUGGCCGCUCCUACAUGUGUCCUGUCCCAGGUGCAACUGAAGGAGUCAGGACCUGGCCUGGUGAAGCCCUCGCAGACCCUGUCCCUCACCUGCACUGUCUCUGGAUUCUCUUUGAGCAGUUACGGUGUAGGCUGGGUCUGCCAGGCUCCAGGAAAAGGGCUGGAAUAUGUUGGUGUUAUAGCUAGUAGUGGAAGUGCAAACUACAACCCAGCCCUGAAGUCCCGAGCCAGCAUCACCAAGGACACCUCAAAGAGCCAAGUUUAUCUGACGCUGAACAGCCUGACAGGCGAGGACACGGCCGUCUAUUACUGUGCGAACUAUUUUGGCUACUGGGGCCAGGGCACCCUGGUCACCGUCUCCUCAGAGAGUACGAUGACCCCAGAUCUCUUCCCCCUCGUCUCCUGUGGGCCCUCUCUUGAUGAGAGCCUGGUGGCUGUGGGCUGCCUAGCCCGGGACUUCCUACCCAACGUCAUCACCUUCUCCUGGAACUACCAGAACAACACUGUAGUCAGAUCCCAGGACAUCAAGAACUUCCCGUCGGUCCUGAGAGAGGGCAAGUACACGGCCAGCUCCCAGGUGCUCCUGCCCUCCGGGGACGUCCCCCUGGUAUGCACUGUCAACCACUCCAACGGCAACAAGAAAGUGGAAGUGAGGCCCCAAGUACUCAUCCAAGACGAGUCCCCAAAUGUGACCGUCUUCAUCCCGCCACGCGAUGCCUUCACCGGCCCUGGCCAGCGCACAUCCAGGCUCGUCUGCCAGGCCACGGGCUUCAGCCCCAAGGAGAUCUCUGUGUCCUGGCUGCGUGAUGGAAAACCCGUGGAGUCAGGCUUCACCACGGAAGAGGUGCAGCCCCAGAACAAAGAGUCCUGGCCGGUGACCUACAAAGUCACCAGCAUGCUGACCAUCACCGAGAGCGACUGGCUCAACCAGAAGGUGUUCACUUGCCAUGUGGAACACCAACAGGGGGUCUUCCAGAAGAACGUGUCGUCCAUGUGCAGCCCCAAUUCACCUGUCCCCAUCAAAAUCUUCGCCAUCCCUCCCUCCUUUGCUGGCAUCUUCCUCACCAAGUCGGCCAAGCUGUCCUGCCAAGUCACAAACCUGGGCACCUAUGACAGCCUGAGUAUCUCCUGGACCCGCCAGAAUGGUGAGAUUCUGAAAACCCACACCAACAUCUCUGAGAGCCACCCCAACGGCACCUUCAGCGCCCUGGGCGAGGCCACCAUCUGCGUGGAAGACUGGGAGUCGGGCGACGACUACAUAUGCACAGUGACCCACACAGACCUGCCCUUCCCGCUGAAGCAGGCCAUCUCCAGGCCCGACGCAGUUGCCAAGCACCCGCCCUCCGUCUACGUGCUGCCACCCACCCGGGAGCAGCUGAGCCUGCGGGAGUCGGCCUCAGUCACCUGCCUGGUGAAGGGCUUCUCACCCCCGGACGUGUUCGUGCAGUGGCUGCAGAAGGGGCAGCCCCUGUCCUCCGACAAGUAUGUGACCAGCGCCCCGAUGCCUGAACCCCAGGCCCCAGGCUUGUACUUCGUCCACAGCAUCUUGACCGUGAGCGAGGAGGACUGGAGCUCUGGGGAGACAUACACCUGCGUCGUGGGCCAUGAGGCCCUGCCCCACGUGGUGACCGAGAGGACCGUGGACAAGUCCACUGAGGGGGAGGUCAGCGCCGAGGAGGAGGGCUUCGAGAACCUGUCGGCCAUGGCCUCUACCUUCAUCGUCCUCUUCCUCCUGAGCCUCUUCUACAGCACCACGGUCACCCUGUUCAAGGUGAAAUGACCCACCAACAAAGGACAUGAGAGACCAGAGACGGACCCAGGAGGGCUGCCAUCGUCGGGCCUGGGGUCCCCGGCCUGUGUGGCCUGUCGACUUGCCCUUAAAUCUCCCCACGUCGCCCUCCAGCUUCCAGCUCUAAGACAUAGGCUUCUCUCUACAGACCGGAGGCCAUGGACAUGUGUGGAGCCGCAGCCGCGGGCUCUGCCCCAGUAUUGCUUUGCAAUGUAUGCACAUGUCGCCUUGAAUAAAUGUGCCUAUUGGGUCUUGUGAAACGG